UACGAAGGGGGCUAGCGUUGCUCGGAUUCAUUGGGCGUAAAGGGUGCGUAGGCGGCGCGGUAAGUCGGGUGUGAAAUCUCGGAGCUUAACUCCGAAACUGCAUUCGAUACUGCCGUGCUUGAGGACUGGAGAGGAGACUGGAAUUUACGGUGUAGCGGUGAAAUGCGUAGAUAUCGUAAGGAAGACCAGUGGCGAAGGCGGGUCUCUGGACAGUUCCUGACGCUGAGGCACGAAGGUCAGGGGAGCAAACAGG
rnacentral:rRNA from 1 species